ACAAGUACCGUGAGGGAAAGUUGAAAAGAACUUGAAGAGAGAGUUCAAAAGGGCGUGAAACCGCUUAGAAUAAAACGGACGGAGCCGUCGUAGUGGCCCGCCGGAAUCAGUCGAAUGAUGCGCGAAUGCGCGCGUUACGCCGGAGCGUGAAAGUCCGGUACGCGUGUUCGUAAAGCAAGUAGCGUUCAUUCGAUGCAUUUCCGGUGGGUAUGCGCCGCGACCGAUGCGAUAAGCUAUCGAAGCGUUCGGAUUGAGGUCGAAAGCCCUUGCCGGUUCUUCGUAACCAGUCCGUUCGUGGCCGUUAGACGUAAGCAUCGAGCGCCCAGUAUAAAAUGAAACGUUGGCAUAUUGCUCAGCCGAUACGGUGGACAGUCGACGGAGUGGUUGGCGCCUGCUCGCAGGCGACCCGCUCGCUCUCGUCGGCGUACGCGAAACCGUGGCUGACGCAAGAACGUUUCGGCGUCAGCGGCGUCCGAGACGGUCACCCGUCCGACCCGUCUUGAAACACGGACCAAGGAGUCUAACGUAUGCGCGAGCUAAUGGGCGGAAAACCCAUAAGCGCAAUAAAAGUGAAAGCCUUCCUCGCGUUGGCGUUAGGUACGAUCCUAGGUGAAUUCAUACGUUCGCCUAGGCGCAGUACCGUCCCGUCUAAAUCGCUCGUCGAUUGGGCGGAGAUUGAGCGUAUACGUUGGGACCCGAAAGAUGGUGAACUAUGCCUGAGCAGAGCGAAGCCAGAGGAAACUCUGGUGGAGGUUCGUAGCGGUUCUGACGUGCAAAUCGAUCGUCAGACUUGGGUAUAGGGGCGAAAGACUAAUCGAACCAUCUAGUAGCUGGUUCCUUCCGA
rnacentral:rRNA from 1 species